GGCUCAGAUUGAACGCUGGCGGCAUGCCUUACACAUGCAAGUCGAACGGCAGCACGGGAGCAAUCCUGGUGGCGAGUGGCGAACGGGUGAGUAAUAUAUCGGAACGUGCCCAGUCUGGGGGAUAACGUAGCGAAAGCUACGCUAAUACCGCAUACGAUCUAUGGAUGAAAGCGGGGGAUCGCAAGACCUCGCGCGAUUGGAGCGGCCGAUAUCAGAUUAGGUAGUUGGUGAGGUAAAGGCUCACCAAGCCGACGAUCUGUAGCUGGUCUGAGAGGACGACCAGCCACACUGGGACUGAGACACGGCCCAGACUCCUACGGGAGGCAGCAGUGGGGAAUUUUGGACAAUGGGCGAAAGCCUGAUCCAGCAAUGCCGCGUGCAGGAAGAAGGCCUUCGGGUUGUAAACUGCUUUUGUACGGAACGAAAAGGCUCUUUCUAAUAAAGAGGGCCCAUGACGGUACCGUAAGAAUAAGCACCGGCUAACUACGUG
rnacentral:rRNA from 1 species